rnacentral:rRNA from 1 species
ACCAGCCUUUCGGGUGCGAUUCUGUGGAGUGUGAGGAGCUUAACACCUUCAUGCUCUGCAUAUUUGUGCUCUUGGGUGUACUUGCCCGCGUGGUUGGUUAACAUCAAUUUUGGUGGUCAUAAAAUGACUGGAGGAAUGUAGCUUCGAUCUCGUAUUGAAGUGUUAUAGCCUUCGGUAGAUGUGAUGAUCGAGAUUGAGGAUUGCAACGGAUACCCUUCGGGGCUACCUGUCUGGUCUCUGAUCGUUGCUCUGGUGCCGAAAGCUUGCUUACGGUUAUCAAAGUCGAUGGUCAAUAGGUUAGAACGGGUUAAAUUCGUUAAGGAUGUUGACGUAAUGGCUUU